rnacentral:tRNA from 1 species
GGUUAUGACUCAGUGGUAGAGUGCUCGCCUAGCAUAUGCGAGGCCCUAGGUUCGAUCCUCAGCACCA